rnacentral:rRNA from 1 species
UAUGUAGGGUCCGAGCGUUGUCCGGAAUUACUGGGCGUAAAGAGCUCGUAGGUGGUUUGUCGCGUUGUUCGUGAAAACUCACAGCUUAACUGUGGGCGUGCGGGCGAUACGGGCAGACUGGAGUACUGCAGGGGAGACUGGAAUUCCUGGUGUAGCGGUGGAAUGCGCAGAUAUCAGGAGGAACACCGGUGGCGAAGGCGGGUCUCUGGGCAGUAACUGACGCUGAGGAGCGAAAGCGUGGGGAGCGAACAGG